UGUCUCUGGUUUUCGCGGCCGGCGCCGCGGCCCGCAGCAUACAGCAGUGCGGCGAGGCGAGCACCUUACGCCAGCUACACGUCAUGUUUCGCCACGGAGACCGCACGCCAACGUCGCUAUACCCCAACGAUCCAAACUCUCCCAGUGAUUUUCCAGAAGGCCUCGGUCACAUAACGCACAAAGGCAAGAACGACCAGUACAACUCGGGAAAAUAUUUGAGGACAAAGUACGAAGACUUUUUGACCUACGAUUCCAACGAAGUGAGUUUUUCUUUUUU